rnacentral:rRNA from 1 species
CCCUGGCUCAGAACGAACGCUGGCGGCAGGCUUAACACAUGCAAGUCGAGCGCCUCGCAAGAGGAGCGGCAGACGGGUGAGUAACGCGUGGGAAUCUACCCAUCUCUACGGAAUAACUCAGGGAAACUUGUGCUAAUACCGUAUACGCCCUUCGGGGGAAAGAUUUAUCGGAGAUGGAUGAGCCCGCGUUGGAUUAGCUAGUUGGUGGGGUAAAGGCCUACCAAGGCGACGAUCCAUAGCUGGUCUGAGAGGAUGAUCAGCCACAUUGGGACUGAGACACGGCCCAAACUCCUACGGGAGGCAGCAGUGGGGAAUAUUGGACAAUGGGCGCAAGCCUGAUCCAGCCAUGCCGCGUGAGUGAUGAAGGCCUUAGGGUUGUAAAGCUCUUUCACCGGAGAAGAUAAUGACGGUAUCCCGGAGAAGAAGCCCCGGCUAACU